ACGGAAGGCAGCAGUGAGGAAUAUUGGUCAAUGGACGGAAGUCUGAACCAGCCAAGUCGCGUGAAGGAUGAAGGUAUUAUGUAUUGUAAACUUCUUUAGCAGUGGAGUAAUAAGGGGAUCGCGAUCCCUGAUGCAAGUACACUGAGAAUAAGGAUCGGCUAACUCCGUGCCAGCAGCCGCGGUAAUACGGAGGAUCCGAGCGUUAUCCGGAUUUAUUGGGUUUAAAGGGUGCGCAGGCGGGAUGUCAAGUCAGUGGUGAAAUGGUGCGGCUCAACCGUAGCAUUGCCGUUGAAACUGGCGUCCUUGAGUGCGAAUGAGGUACGCGGAACGUGUCAUGUAGCGGUGAAAUGCAUAGAUAUGACACAGAACACCGAUUGCGAAGGCAGCGUACUGGGACGCGACUGACGCUGAGGCACGAAAGUGCGGGGAUCGAACAGGAUUAGAUACCCUGGUA
rnacentral:rRNA from 1 species